GUCUGGGUGGCUCAGUCAGUUAAGCGUCUGACUUCUGCUCAGGUCAUGAUGUCACGGUUCGUGGGUUCAAGCCCCACAUCGGGCU
rnacentral:tRNA from 1 species